rnacentral:rRNA from 1 species
GGCGUUCGAUUAUGGCUCAGAUUGAACGCUGGCGGGAUGCUUUACACAUGCAAGUCGAACGGCAGCACGGACUUCGGUCUGGUGGCGAGUGGCGUAGAACGGGCAGUAAUGUAUCGAAACGCUCAGUGGGUGGGGAUAACUACGCGAAAGUUGAACAAUACCGCAUACUGGUUCUUCGGGGGAAAGCGGGGGAUCUUCGGAUUUCGCACUAUUAGAGCGGCCGAUAUCGGAUUAGCGAAGUUGCGGGGUAACGGCUCACCAAGGCGACGAUCCGUAGCUGGUUUGAGAGACGACCAGCCACACUGGGACUGAGACACGGCCCAGACUCCAUGGAGGCGGCGGGGAAUUUUGGGACAAUGGGGAAAUCCCUGAUCCAGCCAUCCCGCGUGGGCGAUGAAGGCUCGGGCUAAAGCACUUUUGCAGAAAGAAACGGCACGGGAUAAAUAAUGUGCAACUGACGGUAUAAUUCUAUAUGAAUAAGCACCGCCAACUACGUGCCAGCAGCCGCGGUAAUACGUAGGGUGCAAGCGUUAAUCGGAAUUACUGGGCGUAAAGCGUGCGCAGGCGGUUCGGAAAGAAAGAUGUGAAACUUCAGAGCUAACUUUGGAACUGCAUUUUUAACUACCGAGCUAGAGUGUGUCAGAGGGAGGUAAAAUUCCGCGUAGCAGUGAAAUGCGCAGAUAUGCGGAGGAACACCGAUGGCGAAGGCAGCCUCCUGGAUAACACUGACGCUCAUGCACGAAAGCGUGGAGCAAAACAGGAUUAGAUACUCCCUGGUAGUCCACGCCCUAAACGAUGUCAACUAGCUGUUGGGGGCCUUCGGCCUGGUAGCGCAGCUAACGCAGUUUGACCGCCUGGGGAGCACGGUCGCAAGAUUAAAACUCAAAGGAAUUGACGGGGACCCGCACAAGCGGUGAAAUUGAGGGAUUAAUUCGAUGCAACGCGAAAACUCACUUACCCUUGACAUGUCUGGAAUCCCGAAGAGAUUUGGAGUGCUCGCAAGAGUAAACCGAACACAGGUGCUGCACAUGUCGUCAGCUCGUUGUGAGAUGUUGGGUUAAGUCCUGCAACGAGCGCAACCUCGUCAUUAGUUAUUACGAAAGGCACUCUACCGAGACUGCCGGUGACAAACCGGAGGAAGGUGGGGAUGACGUCAAGUCCUCAUGGCCCUUAUGGGUAGGUCACAUCGCCACAGAAUGUCGACAGAGGGUCGCCAACCCGGCGAGGGGAGCCAAUCCCAGAAACCGAUCGUAGUCCGGACGCAGUCUUGCAACUCGACUGCGUGAAGUCGGAAAUCGCCAGGUAAUCGCGGAUCAGCAUGUCGCGGUGAAUACGUUCCCGGGUCUUGUACACACCGCCUGUCACACCAUGGAGUGGGUUUGCAAUUAGUUAGUUAGCCUAACCGUAAGGAGGGCGAUUACCACGGUAGGAUUCAUGACUGGGGUGAAGUUGUAACGGCAGUAG